GCCUCAUAUACACCCAUAAAUAAUUUCAAAAACUCAUUAUAAGCCUUUUCAGGGUCAUUAGAUUCGUUUAAUACUUCAUUCCAGGAAAUAUUUUUAACUGCGUCUUUGAACGACUCUAUGUUAGCUUUAUUAUAUUCUCUUUGAUAGGUUACUGUAGUCUCAUUUGUGUUUCUGUUUUUAUCCAAUAUAAUUGAAUUAAAAAUAUGUACAAUAGGUAAAUGGUCUGAAAUAUCGCUAAAAACAACACCAUUUACACUAUCAUUAAGUUUUUCUAAAUUAUUUGUGAAAAUAUUAUCAAUUAGCGUUGCAGUGUCAUCAGUUAUUCGUGUUGCUUUAGUGAUUAAUGGAAAAAAGGACGAUGUGAAUAAUUGUUCGGCAAAUUGACCAGCGUAAUCACAGGGAAACGACAAAACGCGGACCCCAGGUCCAUGGACUACCUUCGUGGACCUGGUCCAUGGACUACACUCGUGGACCACGGACCACUCCCGUGGACCACUCCCGUGGACCACUCUCGUGGACCACUUGCGAAAUUUCGCCUACCGAACAAUAGACCAAGCACUAUUAUUCCGAGUUUAGGGAGCCGAGAUUGGCGGGAACUAUUUCAUUAUUCAUUUCCAUUAUUUAUUACACAAUCAAUUCAGUUUUGGUUGAUGAAAAGUGAAUACUUAAA